rnacentral:rRNA from 1 species
CCCUACGGGGCGCAGCAGUGGGGAAUUUUGGACAAUGGGGGCAACCCUGAUCCAGCCAUGCCGCGUGAGUGAAGAAGGCCUUCGGGUUGUAAAGCUCUUUCGGACAGAAAGAAAUCGCAUCGGCUAAUACUCGAUGUGGAUGACGGUACUGUCAUAAGAAGCACCGGCUAACUACGUGCCAGCAGCCGCGGUAAUACGUAGGGUGCGAGCGUUAAUCGGAAUUACUGGGCGUAAAGCGUGCGCAGGCGGUUUUGAAAGACAGGCGUGAAAUCCCCGGGCUCAACCUGGGAACUGCGCUUGUGACUACAAGACUAGAGUACGGCAGAGGGGGGUAGAAUUCCACGUGUAGCAGUGAAAUGCGUAGAGAUGUGGAGGAAUACCGAUGGCGAAGGCAGCCCCCUGGGCCAGUACUGACGCUCAUGCACGAAAGCGUGGGGAGCAAACAGGAUUAGAUACCCCGGUAGC